AAAAGUCGUAACAAGGUUUCCGUAGGUGAACCUGCGGAAGGAUCAUUAACACGUAUCCAAACGUUAAAACCCCCCCCCGUGAACCUUCAUCCUGCUCUUGUAACCCGCGUAGUUCGCAAUCUCUGAUAAAUCAUCGCCCCCCCUAAUAACCCCACAGUUUAAUGUGAAGCUCAAUGUAAUACAUUGGGUAAAAAACCCGAACAACUGUUAACAAUGGAUAUCUUGGUUCUC
rnacentral:misc_RNA from 1 species